UACGUAGGGGGCAAGCGUUGUCCGGAAUCAUUGGGCGUAAAGCGCGUGUAGGCGGCCAGAAAAGUCCGCUGUGAAAACUCGAGGCUCAACCUCGAGCUGUCGGUGGAAACUUUCUGGCUAGAGUCCGGAAGAGGAGAAUGGAAUUCCUGGUGUAGCGGUGAAAUGCGCAGAUAUCAGGAAGAACACCCGUGGCGAAGGCGGUUCUCUGGGACGGUACUGACGCUGAGGCGCGAAAGCGUGGGGAGCAAACAGG
rnacentral:rRNA from 1 species